UACGUAGGGGGCAAGCGUUAUCCGGAUUUACUGGGUGUAAAGGGUGCGUAGCCGGAAAAGUAAGUCAGAUGUGAAAGCCCGAAGCUCAACUUCGGGAUUGCAUUUGAAACUACUUUUCUUGAGUGCAGGAGAGGAAAGUGGAAUUCCUAGUGUAGCGGUGAAAUGCGUAGAUAUUAGGAGGAACACCAGUGGCGAAGGCGACUUUCUGGACUGUAACUGACGGUGAGGCACGAAAGCGUGGGGAGCAAACAGG
rnacentral:rRNA from 1 species